CUCAGGGUGUGGGAAUAAGCUUCAAACCCUGGUCUCCCUUUCUGUGUCAGAAUUCGGGCUCAAGGCCACCCUUAGCCGCUCACUUGAAUCCCUUUCUCACGGUGACCUGGGUGGGCUUUCUGCUCUCUCAAAGCCUCCUCUGUGCUUCCCUACGCAGGCUCUCAAGGGCCUGUGGUCUCCUCUCGGCCAUCGAGUGGCACCUUUGCCCCUUCCCAGCUCGGGGGCACCUGGGGCUCAGCCCCAUCCUUCCCGCCUCCCCUCCGAGGAAGAGGGGCUGCAGAUGCAUCCCACACAGCGACCCUGGCCUCCUGCUGGAGGAAGGACUCCCGCGGGUGAGAGCUGUGGCCAGUGGAGACGGCCCGUGGGGCGUUCACAGCCAGUGAGCAGUGUUCCUUCUUCCGCCAUUCUCCUUAUGGACGGAAGUCGUCCCUCCUGGAAGGAAGCACAGCAUUCUUUACUCGGCUGCACAGUGGAGCCUCCUCAUUCCGGGGCCCUGGGUCGCGGCCCUGUCCUCUGCUCUCUGACAGACCCAGCAGAAGCCGGGCCAGAGGGAUUCUCCGGCCUUGCCGUCCUCCACUUCGGGGUGCACGCCCACGAUGGCUCCUGGGGAACAGGCCGCGGCCCCUGCCCGUGAGAGUAGCGGUGAGACCCUGCCAAGGAGGAAGGAAUCAGAGAGUCACCCUCAGGUCACAGUUCCUUGGCCCAAGCAGCGGGGGCCCCCGAUGGGCCUGUUCAGUGGAGGGGCCAGGGACGCCCUCUGGACUCAGCCGGAGGAGGCAGCCCCAGGUCAGGGCAAGUCCUGGCCACUCCUGUGGUGCAGCAGCGACUGCGUCACUGGCACUCAGCUUCGCCAGCACCAGGUUUCUGGCUGCAGCUGAGCCGGUACAGGCCUCCGGGAGCGUCCAGGGAUGUGCUGCAGAGGACUCCGCCGUGGCAGAAGGGGACACAGAAGUGACCGCUCUGAGUAAAAGGAAAUGCAUGUGGCAAUUUGUGUGUUUCUAGCAGCCACUGGGUGGAAGGAGGCAGGUUCUUAUGGAGGGCAACGCUCUCCCUGCCGAAGAGGCAGAUGGAUGGCGAGGGAAACACAGGGCCCCUGGGCGCUGGCUCUGAGAGGCAGAGUGGAGGCCCAGAGGGGUGCAGGGACAGUGCACCCAUCGUGGGCAAGACACCAAGGCGGCUGGUGCUGCCGGAGUCAGAGUCAUUGCAGGGAACACUGGCCAGGGAUAGUUGUCCUUGAGGGGUUGAAAGGACAACCUGACUCAGGACACUUCCUCCCCGGCGUCCUCCUGAGACUGACUGCUCCUCUGGGGACCUGCUGACCCCAGGGCCUGUGCCCCUAGCCCCAGUGUGUCCUUCAGAGCUGACCUCUGGGGCUCCCUUCCCCACUCCACUGACGGCAUCUGUAGGACCACCAGCAGCUCGAGCACUGGCACGCAGGGUCUCUGGGCGACGGAGUGACCCCAGAGGCACUGCCAGGGACUCCACCCCCAGCUCUGCUCACUCCUCCCCCUGGUGUGGGUCGGGCGGCCCCAAGGGAUGUCUGCACCUGGCCUUGUGUCUCAGUCACUUUCUUCCUCACUGGGAAAAAGCACCUGACACCUGCAAUCUAAAGGAACCGAGGUUUGUUUUGGCUCCCGGUUUGCAGAGGUUUCAGGCCACAGUGUGCCAGCUCCGAGGCAGGCAGCAUGGAGGAGGCCUGGCAGAGGAGAGCUGCUCAGGGCAUGGUGGAUGGAAGUGGAGAGAAGAGAGCAAGGAAGGGAGAUACAGGAUUAAUGAUGCCCACAUAUUCUUUUAUGCUCACCCAUCAAGAGGUGGAACUUUGGAUCUGGGCUGGCCUGACUGCUGUGACCAUGGCAGACGAACUGAAGUGAUUCCAAGUCAGUGUUGGGUCUUUCUUUCAAGGGGAUUCACCUUGGUCUUUGGGGCCCUGAGUGGCCAUAUAGAGCUCAAGGACCCUGUGGGAGACUGGCCACAUGAGGCCACCCUGAGCAUCAGAUAUGUGAGCAGAGACGCCAUCUCAAGAGCCUUGCCUGGCCCAGCCAUCAGAUGAACUGAGAGCAGCUUGUGUCCAGCUGCAACUGCAUGGAAC